rnacentral:rRNA from 1 species
GACGAACGCUGGCGGCGUGCCUAAUACAUGCAAGUCGAACGCUUUUUCUUUCACCGGAGCUUGCUCCACCGAAAGAAAAAGAGUGGCGAACGGGUGAGUAACACGUGGGUAACCUGCCCAUCAGAAGGGGAUAACACUUGGAAACAGGUGCUAAUACCGUAUAACACUAUUUUCCGCAUGGAAGAAAGUUGAGAGGCGCUUUUGCGUCACUGAUGGAUGGACCCGCGGUGCAUUAGCUAGUUGGUGAGGUAACGGCUCACCAAGGCAACGAUGCAUAGCCGACCUGAGAGGGUGAUCGGCCACACUGGGACUGAGACACGGCCCAGACUCCUACGGGGGGUAGCAGUAGGGAAUCUUCGGCAAUGGACGAAAGUCUGACCGAGCAACGCCGCGUGAGUGAAGAAGGUUUUCGGAUCGUAAAACUCUGUUGUUAGAGAAGAACAAGGAUGAGAGUAAAACGUUCAUCCCUUGACGGUAUCUAACCAGAAAGCCACGGCUAACUACGUGCCAGCCGCCGCUGUAA